rnacentral:rRNA from 1 species
CAGUCAGCGCAGCAUAAUAAUAGAAACUAACCAGGAUUCCCUUAGUAACGGCGAGUGAACUGGGAUGCCAAUAUAAAAUAUGCACCUCGCGUGCAUAAAUUAGCCCGUCGAUACUAUCCUAGCGUAUGUACCGGUCUUCGGGUCGGUACUCAAAUACGCGGGAAUUGUAGCAUCGUAAUAAAAAAAUAUACAUCACGCACACACACACUGCCAACAUGCGUACCACUUGUAAACACACAGCGUCUCCGCGUUGGAAAGCAAGUCUAUAUCCUCUUUGGAUAUGCCAUAGAGUGUGACAGCCACGUUUCACCCUAAAGUACGCACACACACAUACACACGGCACGUGCGAGUGCAAUACGUAUAUAUUCUAUAACCUGAGUCGAGUUAUUUGGGACUAUAGCUCUAAUAGUUUGGUUGGUGGUAAUGACACAUCAAAGGCUAAAUAUUGGUUAGUCGAUGCAUAUUGCGGAGACCGAUAGCAUACAAGUACCGUAAGGGAACGAUGAAAAGCACCCUAUUGAGUUCACGGCGCAGACUCUGGUACUUUUUGUAUCUUGUCCCGCGCCCAAC